CCUGGCUGAGCCCUGCACCUGAUUGGUGCCAUCUGUCCCGUUUUCUCAUUCAACUUGGUUUCUACCUCUUUCCCUAGGUGUGGGGCUGUCCCCUGUGUGUGCAGGGCUGUGGCUGGAGGGCUGAGUGCCAGCAGCUGGAGACAGCCCUUGGGUGAGCAGCUGAAGACACUAGCUCAUCUGCACGUUCCAUCAGUGCAAUACCCUGCUGGUGCUUACCAGGCAACAACAGCUGCUCUGGUCAGACAGCUUGCAGGAGCAUCACAGCAUUCAUCUGCAUACAGCUUGCCACCUGCAUCACAAGCAGAGCUGAAGCUGGAAAUCAUACAAGUGAGAAUUCCUAACCAUCUGAGCACAAAAAUCCAAAAUAAGAACUGUAAUGAGUAAGUAUUUGGGGGAUAGGAACCUUCUGUGUGACAUUCCAGUGCCUUAAAACGUUUUGAGUAGAGAAUGCUUUUUCAUAAUUUCUCAGUUUACCUGAUAAGACAUGCACAAUAACUGCAUCUAUGUUAAACAGCACUUAACCUAUGAUCAGUGCUCCUGUAAAACCCAACUUUGCUAGUAUUUAACAGGUUUCUAUCCUGAUUCCUUCUAUUUUAUGAUAGAUUUCACCACUUUAAAUCCUGGUUCUUUAAUUUCUCCACCUGUAUAAUUUUCACACUGGUUUCCAUGCAGUGCACCAGCAUCAUCACUGCUGUUGAUGUGGAAAAAUAUUCACUGAAUUCAAAAUAAGAAAAAUCAGAGGUAUAAAACAAAGGAUAACCAGAGGGGAAAAAGACAAACCAAACCCACUAUCAUGAAUGGCAUUUUGAUGGACAAAACCACUGGUGCAUGCCCUGGGCCUCUACGUGCACUUAUGUUCCCUCAAGUAAUGAAAAACAUCUGGUCUAUUGCUUUUCCCAUCGAAGACUACUACCCACAGGGAAGAUCAGAGUGGAGUGAAACAUCCUGUCAUUAGGUGGCAGUUACUCAUGUAAGGCUGCGUGGCCUCAGCACAUUUACUUAAUGCGAGUUCCUGGAACAUGCUGUAAGGCUUGAGGAAGGAAGACAUUACCGCUUAGAUAAGGUCAGGCCUGAAAUUUUCUUGGCAAAAUCUGUAUACUAUUUUGUUUUCAGCUUUGAUUUCUACUUUCAUCAUUGGAGCUUUUAUUUUCUUCAGGGAAGAUGCAGCUACUAGAAGACAUAUCCACAUUUCUAUAUUUACUGUAAAAAGUCCUCUGAAAAGGAACAUAGCAUGCUGGAAGAGGGUAGAGGUGUGAGGGGUAGCAUUUUGCUUUAUUUUCCCUUUAUUAAUACAAUUCAAUUUCUGUAUCUUCUUUUCUCUUGUGCUGAUAUUGUUUCAGUAGCAAAAAAAUUUUUUGUUACACAGUAGUUUGUUGACUGUCAGUUUCAUCAAACCGAUCAAUUCUUUUGAUAUAAGGAAUUACACAAUCAUUAGACUUUAAUGACUUUCAGUAAUUACAGACGAACCCUGAUUUGUCUUAUCCAAUGUCUGUUCAGCCAUUCCCUGGAAAAAUGGGGAGAGAUAGCUACCAGACAUUCCUUUACUAGGUCACAAGACCAAUAAAGAAGAAAAAGGUUUUGCUUGGCCUCACAUACACACCAACAAUCUCUAAGAACAAGCUGGAAGUUACAAGAACGUGAGAGCACCAAAUUUCUGGAGAACAAACAUCUUCAGCUCAAUGUAUUUGGAUUCCAGCCAGUGAAUUUGCAAGGAAAAGCUCCAAAACCUAUUUAACAUUAAAAUCAAUUUAAAAACCCAUAAACAUGCAUUUUAAACUAUUUUAUGUUUUGAAGAGCGUAUUUGUAUACGGAGAGAAAAGAUAAAAACCUGCUGCCAUAUGAAAGGGCAUGAAAAACAACUUUGUGCAAUAGUAUCAACUUCCUCUCACUGCCAAAUCAGUAUUUCUGGUGGACAGUGAAUAUGAUGUAGUCAAAAAUGUAAUAUACUGUGCAGAGUUGGUCCCACUUAACUCAGUUGUUGCCUAUAUAUAGAGAAGAUCUGUUCUAGUAUGUGUAUUCCUUAUUUUCAAUAUUAAGGCAAAUUUCAUUCAAAAGAAAUAUUUUAUCUAUUCAAAAUACUCCUGUGUCUUCUAAACUACACUUUAGCAAAAAAGGGUUACACAUUAGCAGAAACACAAUUUGUUCACUUUCUACAUAUCUUACCCAAAUUUUGAGCAAUACCACAGCUGCUGAGGGGAGAAGAUACAGAAUGAGUUACUCUAGACUUUAAUGGGCUUUGAUUUAACACGUUUGGUUAAUGAUCCAUUUCCUGUUCAAAACUUUUUUUUCCUGCAGACAUCAAGAAACUAAGAAUUCCUGCAACUCUGAUACAGUUUGUGAGAUUAGAGAAGUGUUUCAUAAACAACAAAAACAACCAAUUACAUAAGUGUCGUUAAUUUGACUGUGAAAACUUGCAACAUUCUUUCUGCACUACACAGAAAUCACAAAGAUCAUUUUAACUUACAGUCAGAACUACAUUUGUUCAAUAGCUCUACUACUAGUAAUACCCUACAUUAAAAAAAAAAAGCAUUAGUGAUUGUUAAAUUGACUGUUAUACAAUCUGCCCCAAAAUAACUGGUGUUAAAACAAAACAUUGGUUUACCUUUAGGAAUGAGAUUUCUACUUUAAGAAUGAAAUAUAUAUAAACAAUAUCAGGACUAUCAGUGAAAUUGCCUGCAUUUCUCAGUACAUACUUUACAGUGAAGUUAUGUAGCAUGAAACCCCAAAGUAAAUCCAAUGAAAAAAAGUCUUAGUAAAACAUAGAAAUUUUAAUUUACAUGUCAAACUAUAACAUAUUCAUAAUAAAAAACUGGUGAUUAAACAAAUUACACACAA